AGACCCGAAACCCGGUGAUCUAGCCAUGGGCAGGUUGAAGGUUGGGUAACACUAACUGGAGGACCGAACCGACUAAUGUUGAAAAAUUAGCGGAUGACCUGUGGCUGGGGGUGAAAGGCCAAUCAAACCGGGAGAUAGCUGGUUCUCCCCGAAAGCUAUUUAGGUAGCGCCUCGUGAACUCAUCUCCGGGGGUAGAGCACUGUUUCGGCUAGGGGGCCAUCCCGGCUUACCAACCCGAUGCAAACUGCGAAUACCGGAGAAUGUUAUCACGGGAGACACACGGCGGGUGCUAACGUCCGUCGUGAAGAGGGAAACAACCCAGACCGCCAGCUAAGGUCCCAAAGUCAUGGUUAAGUGGGAAACGAUGUGGGAAGGCCCAGACAGCCAGGAUGUUGGCUUAGAAGCAGCCAUCAUUUAAAGAAAGCGUAAUAGCUCACUGGUCGAGUCGGCCUGCGCGGAAGAUGUAACGGGGCUAAACCAUGCACCGAAGCUGCGGCAGCGAACGUAUCACUUAAAGCGAUUCAGCGGGUUACGAUUGACGGAGCGAAGCGACGUCAAAGCGUAUACAAAGUCGAGUCGGUUUAAGGAUACGUUCGUUGGGUAGGGGAGCGUUCUGUAAGCCUGUGAAGGUGGCCUGUGAGGGUUGCUGGAGGUAUCAGAAGUGCGAAUGCUGACAUAAGUAACGAUAAAGCGGGUGAAAAGCCCGCUCGCCGGAAGACCAAGGGUUCCUGUCCAACGUUAAUCGGGGCAGGGUGAGUCGACCCCUAAGGCGAGGCCGAAAGGCGUAGUCGAUGGGAAACAGGUUAAUAUUCCUGUACUUGGUGUU
rnacentral:rRNA from 1 species